rnacentral:lncRNA from 1 species
GUGCGCAGGCGAGGUAAAUAAUCCGUCACCAGAACAAAGAUCUACCAAAAACCCGGAGGCGACGACAGCCAUCGCCAAUAGAAUCAGCUGCUGCAUGAAGGUCCGUCGCAUUUUCACUCUUCUUCUUCUUCAGUCGGAGAAAACGAGAAAGAGAUAACUACAGAAGAUUAGAGAUUCGUGCUCGAUCUUCACCUACUUGGCUUAUUAUAUAUGUAUUUUGGAUUGGGCGUUACAAAAAUAAAAGAAAGGAAAAUAGAGAAACGGCUUAGAGGAAUGGAAUAAUAAGGAAAGUUGGGGGAAUUGCAAGGAAAAGCGGUUGACUGUAGAGUGGAGUUAAGAAGAGGCGUCGCUGCGACGCCUGCGAGUGCCUUGGAUAGUUAUGAAACAGACAGAGAUG